AAUACACGAACCACUGCCGUCUCCAAAACCGUGUGUAUGACUCCUAAAAGUUCGGAAACGAAGCCAGCCCCACGUACGUAUUGUUCAAGAACAGAGACGUCCCCGCCGAGGAACCUGUUCACAGGUGCCCCUCGCUUUUCGAACGUUUGUGUUACGCCACUUGGCUUUUACGACAGACCUCCUUUACUACGGUAACGGUUUUCGCCAACCCGCCAGGAUUCCAAAGAGGUUGUCCCCCUUUAUGACAAAAUCGGACAAGGGGAAGUGCACCGGCCGGGGGUUUGGCAGCGAGCCUGGACGGUGGUGGCAGCCGCAGCCCCGCGCCCCAGCCGGGCAGCGAACGUGGCGCCAUCCAGCACCUUCCCCGGGAACCACGCGCAGCGUCUCGGCCUCGGCCGCUGCGGAGCUCGGAGCUUGUCUGGACCUGCUGGGGAGAGGGACGGACAUCUCCACGAUGGAGGCCUGCGGGUUGGCUGUGGUUCAUCUGAUUGGACAGCAUCUUACCGUUUGGGGAGUUCAGAUGGGGGAUACCUGUAUACAUGUGGAGGCUCCUACACCACUCCUGUGCCAGCAGUGUCUUGUAACUUCCCACGUACGGAGAAGCUGCCCACCUUCCUGAAGGUGUUGGGGACGUGGAUGGGAGGAGGGCCACCAUCCACAGGCAAGGGCUUUUCCUAACACGGCCAGCCCUCCCUCAUCCACUGAGACCAACUCAACAACAACAACAACAAAAAGCACGUGUGGAAAGAGAUGCAAAUCAAGGGAUCCUUGAAUGGAGAAAUGUCAGAGGUCUGGACUGACUUUGAGGCACUGACUUUUGUGAUUUACUUAAUGCCAAACAAAGUCAUUGUUAAUUGGCACUUGAAGAAAGAACUGCAUAUAUUGAGAACCAGCACCGUGGCAGGUACUGUCCUCAGUGGUUUACGAACGCUCUUUCAUUGAGCACUCACAACAAAUGUGUAAAGAGGAUGUAGUCAUCCUCGGCUUCCAGAUGGGAACCUGAGAGGUGGUAAAUGAUCUUCCUAAAGUUUCCCAGAGUUGUUAGCAGGCGGCAGAGCCUGGGUUCGAAUCCAGCAAUAGCCUAUGUCAGACCCUGUGCCCUCUCCGCAAAACUACCCGGCUUCCCACGCGGUCUGGACAUUCCCAGGAUACACUUCCAUACCUUCCUAGGUACCAGAAGCAGGAAACAUGUUUCCUGUGUGGUCAAAAGCAGCAGGGGUUCCUAAAUUUUAACGUGCAUGCAAAUCACCUGAGGCCUGGCUGAAACGAGGAUCCUGAGGCAGUAGGUCUAGAGUAGGUCCUCAGAACCCUCAUUUUGAACAAGCUACCAGGUGAUGCUGGCACUGCCAGUCCUUGGAUGACACUUUGAGUAGCAAGUGUGAAGGGCAAGACUGGAAUCCAUUAUUAUGGAGUCACAUCUCAGACUUAAAAUAGAAACGUGGACGUAUUUUGCACUCCUACAUCUACCUUUGUCAGAGAUAUGUAUCAUAGGUUUUGUUUUGUUUCGUUUCGUUUCGUUUCGUUUCGUUUCAUUUCGUUUCCUUUUCCAGUCUGAAGCUUUGCCUUUUCAUGGUGCAUUGAUGGCAUUUUUUUUUUUUUUUGAAAAGAAGUCUUUCAUUUUGGGGAAAUCUAGUUUCUUUUCUUUUAUGGUUGGUGCGUAUCAUUUUCUAAGAGAUGUUUGCCAAAUUUAAGUGCUUAAAUAUUUUCUCUAUAUUUUCUUCUAGAACUUUUGUUGCUUUAUUUAUUUAUUUUUUAAUUUUUAAUAUUUAUUUUUGAGAGAGAGAUCGACAGAGUGCGAGUGGGGGAGGGACAGAGAGAGAGAGGGAGACACAGAAUCCGAAGCAGGCUCCAGGCUCUGAGUUGUCAGCACCGAGCCCGACGCGGGGCUCAAACUCACAAACCAUGAGAGCAUGGCCUGAGCCGAAGUCGGCCGCUUAACCGACUGAGCCACCUAGGCGCCCUGAACUUUUGUUGUUUUAGAUUCUACAUAGAUCUAUAAUCCCUUUUGUAUGAGUAUUUAUGUAUAUAGUGAGAGAAGGUUUGAAAUUUUUUCUAUGCCGAUUUUAUUUCAGUGCUGUUUCUUCAAUGACCAUCACUUCCCCAUUAAAUCACCUUGGUAUCUUUGCCAAAAAUCAAUUGACCACAGAUGGGUGGGUGUUAUUUUUAGACUCUUUAUUGAUCAGUAUAUCUAUACUUAUACCAAUGCCACCUGUAUUAUAACUUUAUAGUAAAUCUUGAAAUCAAGUAGCAUGAAGUAGCUCUCUAACUUGUUUGUUCUUUUAUAAAAUCGCUUAGGCCUUUCUUUGAAUUUCCGUAUAAAUUUUAAAAUAAACUUAAGGCAUACAGAGAUUUUGAAUUGGAUUUUGUUAACUCUGUCAAUCAGUUUAAGGAAAAUUAACAUUGUAAAAAAUAUUAACCUUGAAAUCCAUAAGAAUUUUAUAUGUUAUAUAGUAUUUCUCUAUUUGUUUAGUGGUUUCCAGUACGGAAGGCUUGCAUAUGUUUUGUUAAUUUUUCCGUAAGUGUUAAACAUUUUUUAACGCUAUUGUGAAUACUGUUGUUUUGAUUUACUACCAUUUGUUCUCAGCCACCGUAUUUCCACAGUUCAGCAUAAGCACGUGUACAUCAUCCGCUUCCAUUAAAUGUACCGAGUUGGAUGAAUGGAUGGAAGGAUGGCUGGCUGGAGGAGCCAAUAGAUGCCGACAAGGUUCUUCAUGGCCAGUGUCUAGUAUCAUAUCUAAUAUAAUAUGGACAAUCAAAUGUUUGUGCUAACUCCAUUGUAUUCAGAGAAAGGAAGCAUUGAUAGCUCAUGGAAACAAGACUGCAGAGUCUUUUGCCCGACCAGGAUGAUGUAGGUUAGAAUGGGGCCCUAUAUAUGAAUCUCGAUGUCCUUGUCGCUCAUCAUGGCCAGGCAUAGGUCUUUAUUCAGUAAGUGCUUGCAGUAAUGGCAAUGAGCUAAACUCAGACUUCUCAUAGAUGUGCCUUCAGUUAAACGCUGAUUUCCUAAAGCUUUCCUUUGGCCAUAUCAUGUCUUUUGCUUCUGGUUUUCUCAUGUGUGCAAAAAUUAAAAUGUUUGAGAGUCACCUCUUGUCGAGGACCAGCCUAUAAGCCAAGGCUUUCUG